GCCAGCAUGGCGUAGUGGUUUGAGUAUUGGAUUAUGACUCUGGAGACCAGGGUUCGAAUCCCUGCUCAACCA